UACAGAGGUCUCAAGCGUUGUUCGGAUUCAUUGGGCGUAAAGGGUGUGUAGGUGGCGCCGUAAGUCGGGUGUGAAAUUUCGAGGCUUAACCUCGAAACUGCAUUCGAUACUGCGGUGCUUGAGGACUGGAGAGGAGACUGGAAUUCAUGGUGUAGCAGUGAAGUGCGUAGAGAUCAUGAGGAAGACCAGUGGCGAAGGCGGGUCUCUGGACAGUUCCUGACACUGAGACACGAAGGCCAGGGGAGCAAACGGG
rnacentral:rRNA from 1 species